rnacentral:lncRNA from 10 species
CUCAAAUGCCACUCAGAGGCAAGCACUUAGGAAGCACCCUCCUUUUGGAAAUAUCCAUGACGUCCUGUGGGGCAAAAUUUCAAGGGAGUAUGGAAGAAAGAAGGAAGGAAGGAGCAGGCCAAAUGGAGGACACUGGACAACGUGGAUAGGACUUUGCAAGAACUAAGGCAGCUCCAAAAGGAUAAAAAGGAGGACUUCCUGGAUAAUCCUGUAGAAGAUGGUGUUUGUUCAGGGAGCAGCUGCUGAAAUGAAUGAACUCUAACUCUACACUCUCUAAGACAGUAACCACCAGCCACAUGCAGUAAUUGGGCAUUGAAAUAUGGCUAGUCUGAAAAAUAUUAAUACAAGUAUGUAUGCAUGUGUGUAUGUAUGCUAUUAUGUUAUACAUAUACUAUCUCGUAAAUCGUUUUUAUAAUGAUUACAUGUUGAAAUGAUAUUUUGGAUACAUUGGGUUAAGUAAAGUAUAUAAUUUAAAUUAGUUAAAUGUAUUUCUUUUAUCUUAUAGUAGUUAUUAGAAAUUUAAAAUUAUAUUUGUGGCUCACAUUUGUGACACAAAUUAUAUGUCUUUUGACCCAUUCACUAGUCACG